UACGUAGGGAGCAAGCGUUGUCCGGAAUCAUUUGGGCGUAAAGCGCGCGUAGGUGGCCCCAUAAGUCCGCUGUGAAAGUCAAAGGCUCAACCUUUGAAAGCCGGUGGAUACUGUGGGACUAGAGUACGGAAGAGGCGAGUGGAAUUCCUGGUGUAGCGGUGGAAUGCGCAGAUAUCAGGAGGAACACCAAUAGCGAAGGCAGCUCGCUGGGACGUUACUGACACUGAGGCGCGAAAGCGUGGGGAGCGAACAGG
rnacentral:rRNA from 1 species